GAUGAACGCUAGCGGCAGGCCUAACACAUGCAAGUCGAGGGAGAAGCCCUUUCGGGGGCAGAAACCGGCGCACGGGUGCGUAACGCGUAUGCAACCUACCUUUCACAGGGGGAUAGCCCGAAGAAAUUUGGAUUAAUACCCCAUAAUAUUAUUGGAUGGCAUCAUUUGAUAAUUAAAACUGCGGUGGUGAAAGAUGGGCAUGCGUCCUAUUAGCUAGUUGGAGUGGUAACGGCACCCCAAGGCUACGAUAGGUAGGGGUCCUGAGAGGGAGAUCCCCCACACUGGUACUGAGACAGGGACCAGACUCCUACGGGGGGCAGCAGUGAGGAAUAUUGGUCAAUGGUCGGAAGACUGAACCAGCCAUGCCGCGUGCAGGAAGAAUGCCUUAUGGGUUGUAAACUGCUUUUAUAUGGGAAGAAUAAGGCGUACGUGUACGUUGAUGACGGUACCAUAUGAAUAAGCAUCGGCUAACUCCGUG
rnacentral:rRNA from 1 species